UACGUGGAAGACUAGUGUUAUUCAUCUUUAAUAGGUUUAAAGGGUACCUAGACGGUAUUUCCAGCCCCAAAAGGGUACAGAUUUACUAGAGUUUUAUGGGAGAGGAAAAUAUAAGUACUAUUGGUGUAGAGAUGAAAUUCUUUGAUACUAUUAGGACUGGUAAAGGCGAAAGCAACCCUCUAAGUAUAAACUGACGUUGAGGGACGAAGGCUUGGGUAGCGAAUAGG
rnacentral:rRNA from 1 species